AUUGAACGCUGGCGGCAUGCUUUACACAUGCAAGUCGAACGGUAACAGGCCUUCGGGUGCUGACGAGUGGCGAACGGGUGAGUAAUGCAUCGGAACGUACCCAGAGGUGGGGGAUAACGCAGCGAAAGCUGUGCUAAUACCGCAUCUGAUCUGAGGAUGAAAGCGGGGGACCGAGCAGCAAUGUUUGGCCUCGCGCCUUUGGAGCGGCCGAUGUCGGAUUAGCUAGUUGGUGGGGUAAAGGCCUACCAAGGCGACGAUCCGUAGCUGGUCUGAGAGGACGACCAGCCACACUGGGACUGAGACACGGCCCAGACUCCUACGGGAGGCAGCAGUGGGGAAUUUUGGACAAUGGGCGCAAGCCUGAUCCAGCAAUGCCGCGUGCGGGAAGAAGGCCUUCGGGUUGUAAACCGCUUUUGGCAGGAACGAAACGGUGUCCGCUAAUACCGGGCGCUAAUGACGGUACCUGCAGAAUAAGCACCGGCUAACUACGUG
rnacentral:rRNA from 1 species